UAGGAGGGGGGACUACCCUAAAACCAUUGUGAACGUUACCUAUACCGUUGCUUCGGCGGGCGGCCCCGGGGCUUUACUUCCCCGGGCGCCCCUGGGCCCCACCGCGGGCGCCCGCCGGAGGUCACCAAACUCUUGAUAAUUUAUGGCCUCUCUGAGUCUUCUGUACUGAAUAAGUCAAAACUUUCAACAACGGAUCUCUUGGUUCUGGCAUCGAUGAAGAACGCAGCGAAAUGCGAUAAGUAAUGUGAAUUGCAGAAUUCAGUGAAUCAUCGAAUCUUUGAACGCACAUUGCGCCCGCCAGUAUUCUGGCGGGCAUGCCUGUUCGAGCGUCAUUUCAACCAUCAAGCCCCCGGGCUUGUGUUGGGGACCUGCGGCUGCCGCAGGCCCUGAAAAGCAGUGGCGGGCUCGCUGUCGCACCGAGCGUAGUAGCAUACAUCUCGCUCUGGUCGCGCCGCGGGUUCCGGCCGUUAAACCACCUUUUAACCCAAGGUUGACCUCGGAUCAGGUAGGAAGACCCGCUGAACUUAAGCAUAUCAAUAAGCGGAGGAA
rnacentral:rRNA from 1 species